CGCUGGCGGCGUGCUUCAUACAUGCAAGUCGAACGAGAAUCUGGCUUCGGUCAGAGGAAAGUGGCGGACGGGUGAGUAAUGUGUAGAGAAUCUGCCCUUAGUGGGGGACAACAGUUGGAAACGACUGCUAAUACCCCAUAUGCGCGUAGCUGAGAUGCUAUUCGUGAAAACUCCGGUGCUAAAGGAUGAGUCUGCAUCUGAUUAGCUAGUUGGCGGUGUAAUGGACCACCAAGGCGACGAUCAGUAGCUGGUUUGAGAGGAUGAUCAGCCACAAUGGGACUGAGACACGGCCCAUACUCCUACGGGAGGCAGCAGUAGGGAAUUUUGCGCAAUGGGGGAAACCCUGACGCAAGCAACGCCGCGUGAUUGAAUAAGCCCUUCGGGGUGUAAAGAUCUGUCAGUAGGGACGAAACUUGACGGUACCUACAGAGGAAGCAUCGGCUAACUCCGUGCCAGCAGCCGC
rnacentral:rRNA from 1 species